UGAUGCGGAGGAGGAGGAGGACAUCUUUCUCAUUUACAAUCAUGCUUCAUCUGCAGACAUUCUCCGGUCCCCGCACACCCCACUGACCUCACCCAUUGGGGCGAAAUGAGGCAUGAAAGGAUCCGGAACGUUCGCACGUGUUCACGCCGUCCGCCGGCGGUCUACGCGCUAGGGUGAGUGCGAUAGAUUUCCGCACCAAUCAUACAACUAUGCAUACGCGAACGCGUUUCCAAUGCUAACAUGACUUUCCCGGAGAGUGGUUGACUAGGAGCGCAAAACUUUCGACCUGAAAGACGACACCCAGUAGGCAACGAACUGCUCGCGCGUCAGCAAAAAGCACGUGUCUGUUACGCUGCUCCCUGCUCUGCUCCAGUGUAGUGACUUUUUCGCGAAAUUGCUUCCCUAUCCGCAUAAUCUAAUAUGCUGGACGAGAGGCGCAAAACCAUCACCAAGAGAAGAAGAGAGUAGCGGCGUAAAUUGCAAAGUUUUGUACGAGCACGAAAUGGCAAUUUUCUACAGUGAGCAACAAAAGUUCGUUCCCGCCAGGGGUAGGAGCUCAAGAAAAAACGCGCUCAUCCGCCUCGAAGGACUAAACUCGAGUGGCGCUUUCUCGCUCACAAACCGUACCAUUCAUUGCCAAUCAAUCACAAUCGGGAAGGGAAAUGAAAUGAAAAGCAUCAUUAAUUACACAAUUGCGCACUCACAACCUCCAUCAUUACACCUUCCAGUGGGUAAGAGCAUUUAUUCCUUCAAUCUAUUCAAGAAAAUUCCAAACCAACGUCGAUCCACGUUUUGAAGACAACUUUAACCAACAGGCGCAUGUGUUUGUUAGCAAACAGGGAACGGAAGUUUGCUCUGUUGGAGCAUUCCCAGGAGGAUUAACACAUUUUUAUCAAAAUAAUUGCUUUCCUAGAAAAGCGCUGCAAAAUUCCCAACACAACCUCACACUCAUCAAUCCAAUCGCUUUGCUUGGAGAGUUUUGUGUGAUACGAUUGGUAGUAAUAUUUAAUGGGGAUUUCCUGUAAAUUGUGUCCCACUGUCUCACACCACUCAUAUGUCAUCAUCAUCGUCAUCAUCAUCAUUAUCGAGAAGCAUUCAGUCGGAACACACCGGAAUACAUCACCAGAGGACGGCGAUGGCAUUCAGUUCAGAAGGGAGGCAAAUGUUUAGAUUUAUUGUGCAUCAAACCGCAUCAAACGGGCGCAAAACAAGGGUAGAAAACGUGCGUAUGUGCAUUUACAUGCUCUACCCACAGUGUAGUAAAGAGCGCAGCUGGUUCAUCGCAUGGAGUUCCAGUAGAAUAGAGGACUGCAUGACACAUUUGCUCCCUGGCUGCUCGGGGGCCCCAAGUUUUGGUCGAUUUGGGGUGCACGAUGGCGAUGGGGCGCAAACGAUGGCGUCUUAUCACAACACAACCACGGACGCACUGAUUAAACAACCAACAACACACCGCGGCCAAUAAACUCGCGCAGAAGGUUAAACUACACCGCUACUGCUGAUGUAUGAACCGGUCCGGCGUAAUGUAGCGACUUUUUUCACCCCUUUUUUAAUCCUUUCCUCAUCCACCU